UUCGUCCAUCCAAACUCCUUUCCCUUCUUCUCCCCUUUUAUUAAGUACUCUACUGUCAUCAAGGGUUAGUAAUGAUCUCAGAUGCUCUAAGAAAUCUUUGGAGACAUUCUCAAGCUUCAGAGACCUUCCUCUCACUAAUUUCUCAUGAGAGUAACCGUCAGGACAAAUCACUUGGCAUUUAGCACCUUAUCUCGUGAUGUAUUCUUAUAGGAACCCAGAUGAGCAAAACUUAAAUAUACUUUAGCUUCUUUUGUAAAGCAAAGGAUAAUGUUAAACUGUUAGUCUCUCUUGGCUUUACAGAAAAGAUUUGCUGAGAUAUAUUACUCUAAAACUUUUAUGAAAAGCUAUCUUUCAAAUGGACCAACCUGGUUUACCAAACUUUGAGACAACUUAUGAAAAGGACCCCUUUGGAUUAAAAUUUAAAUCACAACACUUAAGUACAGGACAUGGGUACCAGUUACCGAAAGAUGAUAAACAGAAGACUAGUACAGAAAGAUUUAUCACCCACAAGCAUUGUGAAUGCACCUGGGAUUCAAAACUAAUUUUGACGAAAGCCCCAUGGCCUGUUAGAUCUGCUUCAUAUACAGGACAUAGAAGGCAGCGUGAUGCAUACAGUGCAUUUAUGGAUCGUGUGGAAGAAAAGUUUACAAAGAUAUGCAAGAGCAGGUCCAGGAUCUGGGGAAGAGAACGUUCUGUUGUUUCUCUCUUUCUGCACCUGUCUCAAUCACACUCCAUUGCUUCUUGGUCUGCCUUUUAUCUCCAAGGUGUUGGUGUCCAGAGGAGAAAUGGAAGAAACAGGGGCAAAAAGCUCAGGUAGCUGAUGGACCAAAACAGCAUAGGGCUUCCUGAACUCUGGCCUGAAUGUUCAUCUCCCGUGCAUUUCCCAGUGAGAACAUUGAUGAAUUCUGGCACCUUCCUGGAUUCUACAGAAAUCUGCACUCUCCCAGAGGCAUGAGAAAGUGCUAAAACAACAAAUGAAAGUUGCAUAAUUUGAAAUUCCCUUGUUACCACAGGGAUCAGAAUCCAAUCAUAAGGCUUUUGAUUUAGUUUGUGAAAGUUAGAUCUUGCAACUAUGAGUGGAAAUGCUGAUAAUGUGCUUUCUGUUAAUGUCCAAAGUUAAAGAUGCUCUAGUCUCAGGUUUUUCUAAUACACUUUAAGAAGCUUCUCUGAGACACUCAAGUAUAUCAAAAGAGAGAAGAUCUCCAAGUAACAGAAAUAAUAAAUGUCCUUCUUAAAGAACAC
rnacentral:lncRNA from 1 species